UGGGGAAUAUUGGACAAUGGGCGCAAGCCUGAUCCAGCCAUGCCGCGUGAGUGAUGAAGGCCCUAGGGUUGUAAAGCUCUUUCUCCGGUGAAGAUAAUGACGGUAACCGGAGAAGAAGCCCCGGCUAACUUCGUGCCAGCAGCCGCGGUAAUACGAAGGGGGCUAGCGUUGUUCGGAUUUACUGGGCGUAAAGCGCACGUAGGCGGACUAUUAAGUCAGGGGUGAAAUCCCGGGGCUCAACCCCGGAACUGCCUUUGAUACUGGUAGUCUUGAGUUCGGGAGAGGUGAGUCGAAUUCCGAGUGGAGAGGUGAAAUUCGUAGAUAAUAGGAGGAAAACCAGUGGCGAAGGCGGCUCACUGGCUCGAUACUGACGCUGAGGUGCGAAAGCGGGGGGAGCAAACAGG
rnacentral:rRNA from 1 species